UACGUGGGGGGCAAGCGUUGUUCGGAAUUACUGGGCGUAAAGGGCUCGUAGGUGGCCAACUAAGUCAGACGUGAAAUCCCUCGGCUUAACCGGGGAACUGCGUCUGAUACUGGAUGGCUAGAGUUUGGAAGAGGGAUGCGGAAUUCCAGGUGUAGCGGUGAAAUGCGUAGAUAUCUGGAGGAACACCGGUGGCGAAGGCGGCAUCCUGGACCAACACUGACGCUGAGGAGCGAAAGCCAGGGGAGCAAACGGG
rnacentral:rRNA from 1 species